rnacentral:rRNA from 1 species
AGAGUUUGAUCCUGGCUCAGGAUGAACGCUGGCGGCGUGCUUAACACAUGCAAGUCGAACGAACCUUCGGGUUAGUGGCGGACGGGUGAGUAACGCGUGGGAAUCUGCCCUCAGGAGGGGGAUAACGGCUGGAAACGGCCGCUAAUACCCCAUAUGCCGAUAGGUGAAAUGAAUUUCGCCUGAGGAUGAGCCCGCGUCUGAUUAGCUAGUUGGUGUGGUAAUGGCUCACCAAGGCUUCGAUCAGUAGCUGGUCUGAGAGGAUGAUCAGCCACACUGGGACUGAGACACGGCCCAGACUCCUACGGGAGGCAGCAGUGGGGAAUUUUCCGCAAUGGGCGAAAGCCUGACGGAGCAACGCCGCGUGAGGGAUGAAGGCCUCUGGGCUGUAAACCUCUUUUUUCAAGGAAGAAGACCUGACGGUACUUGAAGAAUAAGCCACGGCUAAUUCCGUGCCAGCAGCCGCGGUAAUACGGGAGUGGCAAGCGUUAUCCGGAAUUAUUGGGCGUAAAGCGUCCGCAGGCGGCCCUGAAAGUCUGUCGUUAAAGCGUGGAGCUCAACUCCAUUUAAGCGAUGGAAACUACAGGGCUAGAGUGUGGUAGGGGCAGAGGGAAUUCCCGGUGUAGCGGUGAAAUGCGUAGAUAUCGGGAAGAACACCAGUGGCGAAGGCGCUCUGCUGGGCCAUAACUGACGCUCAUGGACGAAAGCCAGGGGAGCGAAAGGGAUUAGAUACCCCUGUAGUCCUGGCCGUAAACGAUGAACACUAGGUGUCGGGGGAAUCGACCCCCUCGGUGUCGUAGCCAACGCGUUAAGUGUUCCGCCUGGGGAGUACGCACGCAAGUGUGAAACUCAAAGGAAUUGACGGGGGCCCGCACAAGCGGUGGAGUAUGUGGUUUAAUUCGAUGCAACGCGAAGAACCUUACCAGGGUUUGACAUCCUGCGAAUCCCUUGGAAACGAGGGAGUGCCUUCGGGAGCGCAGAGACAGGUGGUGCAUGGCUGUCGUCAGCUCGUGUCGUGAGAUGUUGGGUUAAGUCCCGCAACGAGCGCAACCCACGUCGUUAGUUGCCAGCAUUCAGUUGGGCACUCUAGCGAGACCGCCGGUGAUAAACCGGAGGAAGGUGUGGAUGACGUCAAGUCAUCAUGCCCCUUACAUCCUGGGCUACACACGUACUACAAUGCUACGGACAAAGGGCAGCAAGCUCGCGAGAGUUAGCAAAUCCCAUAAACCGUGGCUCAGUUCAGAUCGUAGGCUGCAACUCGCCUACGUGAAGGAGGAAUCGCUAGUAAUCGCAGGUCAGCAUACUGCGGUGAAUACGUUCCCGGGCCUUGUACACACCGCCCGUCACACCAUGGAAGUUGGCCACGCCCGAAGUCGUUACUCCAACCU